rnacentral:misc_RNA from 1 species
GAUGAAGAACGCAGCGAAAUGCGAUAAGUAAUGUGAAUUGCAGAAUUCAGUGAAUCAUCGAAUCUUUGAACGCACAUUGCGCCCGCCAGUAUUCUGGCGGGCAUGCCUGUUCGAGCGUCAUUUCAACCAUCAAGCCCCCGGGCUUGUGUUGGGGACCUGCGGCUGCCGCAGGCCCUGAAAACCAGUGGCGGGCUCGCUAGUCACUCCGAGCGUAGUAGUUACAUCUCGCUCAGGGCGUGCUGCGGGUUCCGGCCGUUAAAAGCCUUUUACCCCAAGGUUGACCUCGGAUCAGGUAGGAAUACCCGCUGAACUUAAGCAUAUCAAUAAGCGGAGGA